GAGUUUCUUUGUUUUACAAUUUUACAUAAUAAUAAACGAUAUACUAAUCAACCAUGUUUAAUAUAAUCGGAAUAUUAACUCGAAUUUGAAAAAUUAAAAAAAUUUAAUAUUUCAAAACAAAUGUAUAAUUAUUGUUUGUUAAUGUUAUUCGACAAUUGUAAUAAAUCAAUGCUUAAUUUGUUGAAAAUAUCUAAAAAAUAGUUUUUAUUUAGAGUUUAUUUAUUUACUUUUACUUUAUAAGAAAAGAAAAUGCAUUGCUUUAACAAACGCGUGCAUAAUAGAUGCUUUAAUGUUCAACUGGAGGAGUUUUAAGAAUAUGAUCUGAAGCCUCAAUAUAUACAGACAUUAAUGUAUACUUUAUUUAUAUUUCAGGUGGAUUAGUGAACGGUAAGAUUUUAACUAAAAAAUGUAUCAUUAGAAAUUCAAACAUAUAAAUGGAAAAUUGUUAUUUCAGUUUAAUAAUAAAAUAUAAAUAAUUUAAUCUAAUUCAUGGAAAAAACAAUUAUUAUUGCUUAAUUAUAUAUUCCCUUUUAUUAGCUGUCGGCCAUGCUGGUAAGUAACGUUUUUGUACAAACAAUUUUUUUUUUUUAAAUUCCGAUAUUUAGUAUUAUGAAAGCAUUUUUUUCACUUAAGCUUUAUACUUAUCAUUUUAAACUCAAGUAUAUAAAAUAAUUUUUCUUUUUAGAAAUUAAAUGACAAAUAUGAAUAUAUAUAAUUAGUUUUUGUUAUAAAUGAUAUGUCUGGGUUAGAUGGUCAAAGGAGGAGAGAUGGCAAGUUUAAUUAUAUUUAUUAAUAUAUUUGUUAAUAUGUGUAGCCGAUGCAGCUUUAAAGGAAGCAGUUUAAUUUGUUUUUCGUUUUGGACAAAGUGCUUUUUGCGACAUCGAAAAAUAUGAAAAGGCUUAAUUUUUACUUUAUUAAAAUAUUUUUUGAAUUACGUAUUUUGUAGUUUUUCAAUAAGCUGGUAAUAUGUUUUCAAUUAGUUGGUUCUGUAAGGCACAUAUAUAUACCACAAUCUUUGUUCUCGAGUAAAAAGCAGAGGUAUAUAACAGCAGAAUGACAUAAAAAAUUCGAUGACCAUCUCAUCUUCAGCAUUAGCAGAAACGGCGACAUAAAAUCGAGGAGUGUUACUACUUUUCAUUUAUGUGUACAGACAUAUCAAGAAUCAUAGGGUCCUUAAAUGUUUAAAAUUGGUGAAAAAAAAAUAAGAAAUUAAGAUGUAUAUUAGUAAAUUCAUAUUGACCACGGUGAUUAAUAUUUUUAAAUGAACGAAUCUAGUUACAAAAACUUUGGUUUCGUUAAUGGUUUUUAUUUGAUUUUGAGUAAUUUAAAAUUUGAAUACAAUGCAACUUUCAUCUCAUUAUUAUGAACUAUUUCAGGCGGUCAUCUCAUUCAAGGAAAACUGAAUGAAAUUGAUUUCAUGGUAAAUGAUGCUGCUUGUGGACUUGGAAACAUUGCUAAUGCUGCUGUUGAUAUGUGUAAGUGAUUUUUUAUUCAAGCUUACAGAAUCGAGCUUUUAUUCAGAACAGUAAUCAUUAUAAAAUGAAAAUAAUUAAAGAGUAUUUUACUUUUAAAAGAGUACCUCAUUUUUUAAAUACCCUUAGGAUAUAAAUUUAAAUAUCAUUUGAGCUUCUUAGUUGUAUUUCAAACAAGAAUGUUAGUCUUAGAGCAUAAAAAAAUUUAUUAAUUAAAAUUAUUAAUUUUAUACUACUUUUCAUACUUUUCUUUAAA